UCUUGGACGGUGCACUUGGUCCUGUGGCACCGCUUUGACCUGCCGCUUUGUCUCUCUCCUCUCCAUGAUUCUAUUUUCUCAGGAGGCUCCAGUUGAGCGAGUCCCCUCCUUCAUCUUCCUGUGUGUUGCCUCGCCGUGCUCCACCUCUACCAUAUUGCCCUGCCUUGGAUUCUUCCCGUGGCCGCGCUCUCCGCCGCCUCCAAUUCCGUCGCCCAGAUCCUUCACUAGGGCCAGCGACCUUUCCUCUCCGAUCGCUGUGUGGCGUCUGCCAAUGCAAUUAUUGGCACGACCUACCCACCCCUCUCUCUCUCUCCCGAGGCUGCUGAUGAUGCGAAGGAAGAACUUGGGUCUAUCCUCUCCUUCCGACGGCGGCUGGCGGCGUGGCCGAUUUGAGCACGUCCUGGUCCAUCAAUGUUUCUGUGAGUGCGCCGUCCGCGUGAUGUUACGGGCCGCCGGCUAGGUAGGCCACUUUCUGUCUCGCCUCCUCUGGUCCUGCAUCGGUGUUUUGCUCACGACGAUAUUACUGCAUCGGCUUCUGUCCGUGGCAAGUUUGGGGAUGGUGUGGAUCUUUCCAUCGAUGAUUUCGCGGAGCUGCCAGAGGCCAUUAGGGUAGUCGUCAUCAUCGGGGAUAUCUCUGCAGUGGAGGAGCUCUCUCUCUAGAGCCGAUCCGCGGGAGGUACGAGAAGAUGGAGCUGAGGGGCGGAGCGUGGGAGAAGAUGGCGUCAAUGGUGCUGGGCCGCCUGAAGAGUUCAGGAGGGAGGACGGGAGGUGGAGUGAGGAUAGGGGAAUUUGGGGAGAAGAAGGCACGGACGCGGAUUGCAUCCAGGCCGGCCUUGUGCUGCUGCUCGAUGUAGACAUCAGUUCGAGUGCGUUCAGAUGGUCAAGUGAGGAAUUAAUACUUAACGAAAUUGUUGCUGAAGCUGGAAUCGAAGUGCCGGCCUGAUAAUAUUUGCAGUGUUGGCUUGAACAGCAGGGAUUGGUCACAGCGAAGUAGCAGACCACUAUGCGAGCAACACCGACGUUGUGGAGCAUCCGUCCAGUGAGAGGAAGGAAAGCAUGCGAUGUCUGUUCGGCAGCCAGUCCGACCAGCAGCGACCACCGUCCACGAGAACAAGGAGGUAGCUAUCCACAGGCGCCAUGCUGCUGCGUGUUUGCUUAACAGGUACAACUUUCCGUUAGCGCAAAGUAUAUCAAACCAAACAAGGAAAGCAAAGAGAUGAUCAGCUAAUUCAUAUUCCUUGGCGAUCAUGGUGUCACACUUACGGGCCAUGACGCAAUCCUGCCUGAUGCAACAACCAGAGGGAAAACAGAUUAUGUGCCGCCGGCCAUAUGAGGUGUAGUUGAAAAAAAUGUAUAGUCAUCGCAGAGGUCAUGCAGGAAGCUCUUGGCGCUGGCAACAUAUCAUGGAUAUCCCAGGCUAAGAUGUCAGCUCCAUGUGCGAAAAAGAGGACGAAGGGAGGCCAAAGCAUCAACUACUACACCAACCAAGAAACAGAACAACAAAUAGCUCUUCCCACGCAAAUAAAGAUGUUUCCACCUUCAGUUAAACACCAGGAGCCAGGUUCCGCUUGCAGAAACGAAUCAACUUAGCUUAAGAAUCCAAGACAAAAAGGGGGUGGAGCUGUUGAAACAAUGAUUGAGCACACUGUUGUCAAUAAGAUAUCUCUAAUAGCAUGAACCUACAUAACAUUCUAGCCAACAGGUACCAAAAAAUUGGCACACUGCUGCCAACCAGUUAUGUAUAAUAUCAUAGACCUUCUUAUCAUUCUAGCUAGCAAGUACUAUCGACAAGUUGUAAUAGACCCCCACUUCGAAUAUUACGUGCAAUAUGGACCAAACCACUAUUCCAGCCAGCAAAAA